AACGCGAAGAACCUUACCUGGGCUUGACAUGCACGGGAAGCCGGUGGAACAUCGGCCCCUCUUCGGAGUCCGUGCACAGGUGCUGCAUGGCUGUCGUCAGCUCGUGUCGUGAGAUGUUGGGUUAAGUCCCGCAACGAGCGCAACCCUUGUCCCUAGUUACCAGCGGGUCAUGCCGGGCACUCUAGGGAGACUGCCGGUGUCAAACCGGAGGAAGGUAGGGACGACGUCAAGUCAUCAUGGCCCUUACGUCCAGGGCGACACACGUGCUACAAUGGCCGGUACAGAGCGUCGCGAGCUCGUAAGAGUGAGCUAAUCGCCAAAAGCCGGUCUAAGUUCGGAUUGUGGGCUGCAACCCGCCCACAUGAAGCUGGAAUCGCUAGUAAUCGUGGAUCAGCCAUGCCACGGUGAAUACGUUCCCGGGCCUUGUACACACCGGUACUA
rnacentral:rRNA from 1 species